AUGAUGAUAGCACAGACCCAGCUCCUCAUGGUGUUGCUGCUCUGGGUCUCAGGUGCCAGUGAGGACAUUUCGAUGACCCAGUCUCCUGCCUCCCUGGCUGCAGCUCCAGGAGAAAUGGUUACCAUCAACUACAAGUGCAGUAAGAGUGUGAAGAGCUCCUUAGCCUGGUACCAGCCGAAACCAGGACAGGCUCCUAAGCUGCUCAUCUACUUAGCGUCCACCCAGUCAUCUGGGGCCCCAAUCUGGUUCAGUGGCCCUGGGUCUGGUACAGAUUUUACUGUCACCAUCAGCAGCCCCCAGUCUGAAGUUGUGCCAGAUUAUUACUAUCAGCAAAAUUAUGCCAUUCUUGUCACAGUGCUUUAG